rnacentral:rRNA from 1 species
AAGACAACUUUACGGAGUUGACGAUUGACGGAGCGAAGCGACGUCAAAGCGUAUACAAAGUCGAGUUGGCUUAGGGAUACGUUCGUUGGGUAGGGGAGCGUUCUGUAAGCCUGUGAAGGUGGCCUGUGAGGGUUGCUGGAGGUAUCAGAAGUGCGAAUGCUGACAUAAGUAACGAUAAAGCGGGUGAAAAGCCCGCUCGCCGGAAGACCAAGGGUUCCUGUCCAACGUUAAUCGGGGCAGGGUGAGUCGACCCCUAAGGCGAGGCCGAAAGGCGUAGUCGAUGGGAAACGGGUUAAUAUUCCCGUACUUGGUGUUACUGCGAAGGGGGGACGGAGAAGGCUAUGUUGGCCGGGCGACGGUUGUCCCGGUUUAAGCGUGUAGGUGUGUGUUCCAGGUAAAUCCGGUUCACUUUAACACUGAGGCGUGAUGACGAGGCACUACGGUGCUGAAGCAACAAAUGCCCUGCUUCCAGGAAAAGCCUCUAAGCAUCAGGUAACAUCAAAUCGUACCCCAAACCGACACAGGUGGUCAGGUAGAGAAUACCAAGGCGCUUGAGAGAACUCGGGUGAAGGAACUAGGCAAAAUGGUGCCGUAACUUCGGGAGAAGGCACGCUGACAUGUAGGUGAAGUGAUUUACUCAUGGAGCUGAAGUCAGUCGAAGAUACCAGCUGGCUGCAACUGUUUAUUAAAAACACAGCACUGUGCAAACACGAAAGUGGACGUAUACGGUGUGACGCCUGCCCGGUGCCGGAAGGUUAAUUGAUGGGGUCAGCGCAAGCGAAGCUCCUGAUCGAAGCCCCGGUAAACGGCGGCCGUAACUAUAACGGUCCUAAGGUAGCGAAAUUCCUUGUCGGGUAAGUUCCGACCUGCACGAAUGGCGUAAUGAUGGCCAGGCUGUCUCCACCCGAGACUCAGUGAAAUUGAACUCGCUGUGAAGAUGCAGUGUACCCGCGGCAAGACGGAAAGACCCCGUGAACCUUUACUAUAGCUUGACACUGAACAUUGAGCCUUGAUGUGUAG